UGUGGAGCAGCACUGUGGUGUCUUUUUUUUUUGGGAUCAUCAUUUAUGGAGCAGCACUGUGGUGUCUUUUUUCUCUUGGGAUCAUCAUUUUGUUCUAAUUUAUUAACACUUAUGAGAAUAUGCAAGAUUGUUUUUAAAAUGUGAACAUUAUUUGUUUUCAUUAUUUUAAUUGUUUCCGCGUGCUGGGGUGCAUAGGUCGCCAAAUAGGAUCUCCGGAAGGCGAGAUAUAGGGGCGCGGUUUAAGGAGGUCUUGCUAGGCUAUAUUGGUCGUUGUCUGGCCCAUCGUUUCUCCUCAACACACUACCAGAGUCAAAUCCCCAGCAACACACACAAGAUGCAAAUCCCCAGCAGGCGGAAGAAAGGAGUCCGUCCCCGGCGGCGGCCGCCGACACACAGGAUGCAGAUCGAGCCGUCCCUAAUCUUUACCUGUGGCGGAUGAGUGGACUCCGAUAGACGGCGGAUGCUGCCGAGGAGAAUCCGCACCGGUUCCACCGUCCUGCUACAGCUACAGGGGAAUGCGAUGUGCUCAUGUUCUGAACCCUCCUGUCAGUUGCCUGCUUUGGUAAAGCUGUGGAUUGAUUCCUUGGGCGAUUUCAACAAUAAUGGAAGUAUGGAAUAUCUGUAUCAACACAUUUUUCAACCUGUAGUGAUGUAGCUUAAUUUCCUGUAAAACCUUAGCUAUUUGGACCUGUAUAUGCUGGGAAGAAGAACUGUAUAUGUUGAGUAAUCUGCUUCUGCUGCGGGAUCGUGGUUCCACUUUUUCUGCAGAUAGAUGCUUCUUAUGGCAUUUGCAGAAGCCACUCUGUAAAAUAACAAAGACACUUCUGAAAAAUGUAAGCUUGGUUGUUGCUGAUGUCAA